UACGUAGGGUGCGAGCGUUAAUCGGAAUUACUGGGCGUAAAGCGUGCGCAGGCGGUUUUGUAAGACAGGCGUGAAAUCCCCGAGCUCAACUUGGGAAUUGCGCUUGUGACUGCAAGGCUAGAGUGUGUCAGAGGGGGGUGGAAUUCCACGUGUAGCAGUGAAAAUGCGUAGAGAUGUGGAGGAACACCGAUGGCGAAGGCAGCCCCCUGGGCCAAUACUGACGCUCAUGCACGAAAGCGUGGGGAGCAAACAGG
rnacentral:rRNA from 1 species